rnacentral:rRNA from 1 species
GACGAACCGUGCGAACGUUGUUCGGAAUCACUGGGCUUAAAGGGCGCGUAGGCGGGUCAUCAAGUCCGGGGUGAAAGCCCCCAGCUUAACUGGGGAAGGGCCUUGGAUACUGAUAAUCUCGAGGGGGGUAGGGGCAGUGGGAACUUCCGGUGGAGCGGUGGAAAUGCGUUGGAUAUCGGAAGGAACGCCGGUGGCGAAAGCGCACUGCUGGACCUUUCUGACGCUGAGGCGCGAAAGCCAGGGGAGCAAAGC